CUCUUUCGGAUUUGCCCUUGGAAACCUCUGCCUAAUCAAUCGCCCUCACGAUAUCGGACCCGGACUGGACUCGGACAAAGGACCUUGGAUAAUCCUGCACGGACUCUGCCGCCCUCAGGGGCCAGAAGAAACCCCGACAAGCCCACUCUCCACCAGGAGCUGCCAGCCGCCGAGCGUGAGCCGCACGCAGCAAGGGCCGUGCAACCCCUUCUUUUAAUAAAAUAUCAAAGCGUCA